rnacentral:rRNA from 1 species
AUACGGAGGGUGCAAGCGUUACUCGGAAUCACUGGGCGUAAAGCGCGCGCAGGCGGUCUUUUAAGUUGGAUGUGAAAGCCUACAGCUCAACUGUAGAACUGCAUCCAAAACUAUUAGACUAGAGUCUGGGAGGGGAAGAUGGAAUUAGUUGUGUAGGGGUAAAAUCCGUAGAGAUAACUAGGAAUACCAAAAGCGAAGGCAAUCUUCUGGAACACUACUGACGCUGAGGCGCGAAGGCGUGGGGAGCAAACAGGAUUAGAAACCCUAGUAGUCC